ensembl:lncRNA
CUUCUUUACCUUUCCCCCUUCUAGCACUUCUCUAGUACUUUUUCUUUUCUCUGACAACAUGUCUUCCAGGUAGCAGUAAGUUUUCUCCCCUUCUAGCAAUUUUAAACUCUUAUUCUGGACUUUCCUUAGGCCUUUUUUAGUAAAUUUAAAAGAAGAACUGGCUUCAACGGAUGAAGAGAAAGCUGAGGUACUGAAUGAGUUCUUUGCCUUGGUCUUCACUGGUGGCCAGGAUUCCAGUCUUUCUCACGUCCCUGAGCCCUGCACCCCCAAGCCUCCAGAUCAGGACAGCAUCCACUCUUAUCUCAGGACUUCCUUGAAACGAUCUAAGACAGGGAAAAGAUGUAUGUCUGCACUUAGUCUAUAACUCAUUAUAACAUUUCAGUGAGCAUGGAAAGUUGUGCUAGGUCAUACAAAGCAUGUAGAAGCAAGGGUGACAUCAAUGCAGCUGAUAAGAACUGAAUACAAAAUAUGUCACUUGUGACAUUUCUGAGACCAUAUGAUGUGAAGGAAAUCUGGAGCAGGUUGCAGUAAUGUUGGAAAUAUUGUCUAAACAACUCUGUAACCAUAAUUAUGUGUUUGCUCCAUAAUGAUGGACUUCUCAUCUUAAGGAAUGCCGUUGCAAGCGGGAACAUUAUAUAAAUGGCCAGGUUCAACAGCCACGAUGGUUUGUUUUAAAUGACUCUCCCUGCUGUUUCUUCCACUGCAGAUGACAGAAACAUGUUUGUCAGGAGGAGUAGGAGGCUACUCAGGUUUGCAUUGGGUUCGUGGAGCUGUCAGAAUAAAAACAUUCACGAUUCUGUGGAAGCUGCAGCAGCACCAAAAGGUCAUGUCUCUUGCGGUUUGGCAGAGGGAAACCAGUGAGACUGCAACAGAGAUAAAUUUAGCCCUAAUUAAAAGGUGUUAAGGAAAACCACCUCAGCACCCAGGAAUGAGGCAUCCUUGUAUGCAGUCUAUCAGUGUUCAAGAUGUUGACUUUAUCUGUGGGAACACAUGAAGAUUAGCAAUGUUCUCCUUUGUGCUCCACCACUAGAAUUCCCUGAGUUUGUGAGUCACUGUCAGCUGCUUACUAAAUAUAACCCCUCAACACUGGUUGGACUUGUAGUCAUGAUGGCAGAAUUACUG